GUAUAAGUGCAGCAGCCCAUGUGCGCCCAGCGCAGGCUACACAGCAGCAGCUGGAGACCAGCUUCUGGGACGGGACUACACUCAGCCCGCAGGACCGGCUCACUAACUUUACCAAAGCCCGGGCUGGAAGGCAAGGCUGCCCUUGCUGUCCUCUCUCAUCAACCAUGCCCUCUCUGAUUUGGGGUUAUGGUUUGGAUUACUAAAGGGAGUGUUUAUGAGGACACGGGCAUCCUGGCACACUAUUAUGUCACCUUGGCCAGCUGAUUUCACCCGGAUUGUGCCAUGCUGUACCACUCAUCGCUGACUUUUUGUUCAUGCUAUAAUGUUUAGGCAAUUUUGCGCAUGCGAGGGCGCAGACGCGUCUUGAAUUACGCAGCAGCAUAGCGCAGCACAAGGCAGGGUGAGCCCUAUACACCCUCCUCAGCGAGCUGCUGGGGCUCCUGAGACUGGUGGAGAAGUUGCAUGUGGUUGGAUUGUUAUGACAUGGUGCUUGUAGUCCAGUUACAGGUGGGUCCCUUGUGGGUAUGGCGAUGUUAGGGGACACCAGUGACGCUAUGAAGCACUCCUUUGGGGACAGGGAGUGACAGGUGGACGCAGUAAGAGCCCCUCUGUGUGCACAUAUACACCACAUACUUGCUCCGCUGUAAUAAGAAGCUCUGGCCAGCUGACCGGACGGUUCUUCCAAGAAGUUACUGGAAAAGGAUCGAAUCUUAUAACAAAAAAUAAAGGGGGGAAGCAGCCCCUCCUCUCCCACCCCCAGAUGCCUGUAACUGUCUCCCUAUGUGCCAUUAACCGGUAGUGGCAAUGACAAUAAGUGCAGCUUACAUAGCUGUGGAGGUGAUCAUCGCUGUGCUGUCCAUCGUGGGCAACGUGCUGGUCUGCUGGGCAGUGGCCAUAAACAGCACUCUGAAGAAUGCCACCAACUACUUCCUAGUGUCGCUGGCUGUGGCUGACAUAGCGGUGGGGCUACUGGCCAUCCCAUUUGCCAUCACCAUCAGCAUCGGCCUGAAGACUGACUUCCACAGCUGCCUGUUCUUCGCCUGCUUCGUUCUGGUGCUGACACAGAGCUCUAUAUUCAGCCUCUUGGCUGUGGCUAUAGACAGGUACCUGGCUAUCAAGAUCCCACUCAGGUACAAAAGUUUGGUCACUGGAAAGAGAGCAAGAACAAUUAUCGCAGUCUUCUGGAUUCUAUCCUUUGGUAUUGGAUUGACCCCGCUGAUGGGCUGGAAUUGCUUUGAUAGAGACUGUGGUACAAAUGACAGCAUAUCCAGCCAGAACCGUACCGUUUCAUGUUUGUUUGAAAAAGUGGUCACAAUGACAUAUAUGGUGUACUUCAAUUUUUUCGGCUGUGUUCUGCUUCCACUGUUAAUCAUGCUGGGGAUAUACAUCAAGAUAUUUAUGGUUGCCCGCAAGCAGCUCAGACAGAUUGAACUAAAGUGUGUAGGUGCAGACAACUCAAUGACCACUCUCCAGAAAGAAGUGAACGCGGCCAAGUCCUUGGCCAUCAUUGUGGGUCUCUUUGCUUUUUGCUGGUUGCCCAUCCACAUUCUGAACUGCAUCACGCUCUUUGACCCAGAGUUUCACAAGAAAAAGCCAGAGUGGGUUAUGUAUAUGGCCAUCAUCUUGUCUCACGCCAACUCUGUAGUAAACCCGAUCAUAUAUGCUUACAAAAUAAGGGACUUUCGCUACACCUUCCAUAAGAUCAUUUCAAAGUACCUUGUCUGCAAAAAGGACAACUUUUCCAAGUGUCCCAACGGCAGCAUUGGGCAUAGUAGACACUUGCAGAUAAGCAGUGUAAGUGCCGGGAAUGCCAUCAUGUGACCCCCCUACUCAUGCUUCCUGCAUCCUACAUGGAGAGACCACCGCGCGUGUAGUUGGGUUCCAUGUACUUAUACUGUAAAUUUGUUGCUUGGACCAUUGAGGAUGUCAUGAUUGACCACUUUGCUGCUGCACUUUGUUGAUUUGAAACGUUGACCAUUAGUUUUUACUAUAAGGGUUCAAUCGGAGAACAGCUGCAGUGCAUCCAUAUCCCUGAAGGCUGAUCUCGGAUUGGAACAAAAAGAGAGGUCAAUGCAUAUGCGAGGUCCAAGGGGAAAAGCACAAAUCCUAAGAAUCCCAAAUUACUCGCUAGAUGUUCUUGUAAAUAAAUCUGUAUUUAUAUAUUUGUACUAUUUCUGUUAUUGCAGAAGGGAAAACUAAUUAACAUACCGAAUACAGAGUGGGUCAACUGGCUUAAAAACCCUGUUUGUGUGAUGGAGCCUAUUGGAAGGCUAUUCAAUUUUCAUUGUGUUACAGACAAUCUGACAUUCACUGUUACAGUGAAGGGCUACAUAUUACUGUGAUCAUAUUUUAUUAAGACGGUUAUGAAUAUAAGUUAUAAUAUAAAAAUUGAUUGAGUUGCACUGCAUGAGAGAGGGAGAUGCUGCCAUUUUGUUGCAUGAACCAAUGUUUUGUUUGUCUCUAUUCACUAGAAACAAAUGGCAUUACUGAGGCAUGUCACUCGUGUCUAUAGAAUUAAAAGGCUUAAUAUUGGAUUAAUGCACAAAAUGGCAGCUACCACUGAUCCACUGAUCCAGAGACAGGCACAUUUUAAGGUGUUUGGCAUUGGAAUUACAUUUACUAUGUGGCUGACCAGAAGCUAGUUUAGGCUCAGAUUUAUCAUGCCUCGGAGAGUGAUACAUUGCACGGUGAUAAAGUACCAGUCAAUCAGCUCCUGUCAUUUUUCAAACACAGCCUGUAACAUGAUUGGCUGGUACUUUAUCACCAUGCAAUGUAUCACUCUCCAAGGCUUGAUAAAUCUGGGACAUUAGAGGUCUAUUCAUGAAGCAGUGAAAAGUGUGGAGAAGUUGCCUAUGGCAACCAAUCAGAACUGAAGUAACAUUUAUAAUUUGCAUACUAUACAAAUGUACGGAGCAGCUGAUUGGUUACCAUGGGCAACUUCUCCACAGGCUCACUUCUCAACUAUUUUCACAGCUUCCUGAAUAGCCCCCUAAGUCUGUUAUCAGCCAUUUUAAACCAAUAGGCCUACUGUCUUUGUCCUCCAAUAGACUUAGAGAAAGAAAGAAAUAUAUUUAUAAAUCCCAAUCCAACC